AUUUUUUAAAUGGAAGAGAAUCGUCACAUCCGAACAUCAGUCACAAGAGAGAAGUUACAAAACUGGCCCCAAAGGAGGCCGCCGGGGGGCUUCUUUUUGGACCCGAUGUGAAACUGACCCAUGGAUAACUUCCCUCCACCAGGGGGCAACUCCCCCUGUCCCAUAGACGUCUAUGAGGAAAUGAGUCUACUUCUUUCUUGAUUUAUUCCCUCAGUAAACAUUGUAAACAGGAGUUUAUGGUCUCAGUCUCGUUUCAAGUCUUCAGUCCAGCGUGAUGUUCAUUUAUCAAACUAUGUCCAAAUUAUGUCAAUCCGUCAGAGUUUCCCCUCCACCACCCGAAGGCGUAGGGAGGCGACCUUUUUGUCCACCGGGGUAAACUCCAAUGUAGCAGCACUCAGCCGGGGACUUAUGAGUAUCCCCACACCCGCCUGGCGCCUCACACCAUGGGCCACUCCGGAGUAGAAUAGAGUCCACCCCCUAUCCAGGAGUGUGGUUCCAGAGCCGAGGCUGUGCGUAGAGGUAAGCCCCACCAGAUCCAACUGGUACCGCUCCACCUCCCGCACAAGCUCCGGCUCCUUCCCCCCCAGAGAGGUUACGUUCCACGUCCCCAGAGCCAGCAUCUGCCGCCCAGGUCUGUUCCAUCUAGACCCCCCACUGUCACUGCCACCCUUAGCAGCACACCCGACCCCAUCGGUGUCCCCCACAGGUGGUGAGCCCAUGGGGAGUCGAGGGCUAAUCUUGUCAAUCAGACUGGAUUUGUCACAAAGGUCGCAGCGGCGUGGUGGCAUGGCAGGAAGGAGGACCCAAACGUUCCACGCAGAAAAAUACUUACAAAAUUCAAAAAUGCCGAGUGGAAAAACCGCAGACAAGCCGAGGACCAGGACCGCCAAGAACACGUACGACAUUCAAGCAGAACAUACAAUGACGCAACAAAGGACAACCGACACACAUGGCUUUAUUUCACAUUAUUUUUUAUUUUAUUUCUCGUGCACCGUUGUCUGCUGUCAAGUCCGAUUCCUUGUAUGUGUGACAUAUUAUGGCCAUAAAUGUUUCCUGGUCCUCCUGUCAUCAGAGGGGAUGACGGGAGAGGGCAGGAAGUGAAGCUAACCAAGGGACACAAGAGGCAGGAAACUACAAAAUAAAACAGGAAAUAAACCCAAGCCGUGACAGGAUUAAGUCAUUUAUGAAAUGGUGAACUACGUAUUUGGAAAUUAGGUUAAUAUAUGAGCAGCCAAUGCUGAUGUGCCUUUCCCUCUCUGUCUGUGUGUCAGACAACACUAAAGAACU
ensembl:lncRNA